rnacentral:lncRNA from 1 species
UGUGCCUUUAUUUAUUACAAUCUCUCAUCUCUGCACAUGGGGAGAACACCUGCUAAGCCCCAUAGGGUUGGAGCCUACAGAAAUGGACAAGAUGGCCUUCUGUGGGACAGAGAUUGGUUGCAGUAGCUCAUUUGAUCUUUAUGAAGGUCUUCUGUUGACCAGGUAUAUUCAGAGGCUUAGAUUGGAGGGUAAGGAGGGAGCUGAUAGUGGGAAUGGAGGCGGGAUCAGAUCAUGAAGGCCAGACCCAGGGGCUUUGAUAGUGCCUAUAGGCAAUGGGCUACGGAAGGACUUCAGCAGGGAAGGGCAGGAUCAGAUCUGCAUGAUGAAAGAAUCCCUCUGGAGCCAGGGUGGGAUGGAGGAGAAGGAGGCUGGGGCAAUAGCUCAGGUGAAACAAAAUGGAACUUGAGCUGGACCAGGAACCUGGAGAAGAGGGCGGUAGAAAUGGUAUUUAGGGGGAAGAAUAGACAGUGUUUGAUGAGGGACUGACUUGAGUAGACGGGGGGAAGGUACCACCAUGUGCUUGGGUUCUCAGCUCUGAGAGGCUAUUACUGAAAUGGGGGGACCUGGGAGGACGAGGUGACUGGGGAGGAAAGCUCCUUCACUCAAAUUAGGACGUUGUAUUUGUGAGGUGCUCAGGGGACAGACUCCAAGGAGGGAGAAGUCUAGUUCAUUUCUAUCCCACCCAGCCCUCCUGGUUUGAGGAAGUCAUUUAGAAGACCUAGAUCCAGCUAGUAUCUUCUGAUGAGGCCAAGGUUGUCUUGGCACCAACCCUAUUCUCCCACUAGACCCAAGAAUCUGGCCCUUGCCCCUCUCCGAGAGUCCUCCCCCGCUUUUCUUUUUUAUUUUUUUUCCUUCUUUUACCUUUAUAUUGAUAUUUAAAAGAAAAAGAACAU